rnacentral:sRNA from 31 species
UACUCAGUAUAGUUUUUAUGGCUAUACGCAUGAAUAUAGUUGUAAGACUAAAGAAAGGGUAG